rnacentral:rRNA from 1 species
AGGACGAACGCUGGCGGCGCGCCUAACACAUGCAAGUCGAGCGAUAACCAGGGCUUGCCCUGGGGACAGCGGCGAACGGGUGCGUAACACGUGAGCAACCUGCCCCAAAGACCGGGACAACCCGAGGAAACUCGGACUAAUACCGGAUGCCCUCACCGGGUCGCAUGGUCUGGUGAGGAAAUGGAUUCCGCUUUGGGAUGGGCUCGCGGUCUAUCAGCUUGUUGGUGGGGUAACGGCCUACCAAGGCGACGACGGAUAGCUGGUCUGAGAGGACGAUCAGCCACACUGGGACUGAGACACGGCCCAGACUCCUACGGGAGGCAGCAGUAGGGAAUCUUCCACAAUGGACGAAAGUCUGAUGGAGCAAUGCCGCGUGAGCGAAGAAGGUUUUCGGAUCGUAAAGCUCUGUUGUAAGGGAAGAACACGUACGGGAGUAACUGCCCGUGCCAUGACGGUACCUUAUUAGAAAGCCACGGCUAACUACGUGCCAGCAGCCGCGGUAAUCGUGA